AUACCUUUCUCGGCCUUUUGGCUAAGAUCAAGUGUAGUAUCUGUUCUUAUCAGUUUAAUAUCUGAUAUGUGAGCCAAUGGCUCACACGAUAUUAAAUUAAUUUUUUAAGGGCGAGAGCUAAAUACGGUAGCUUGCUACCGGGGCUCUCAAGCGUCGCCCUUGCCUGGCACUACUGAACGGGCCUGGCGCACCCUAC
rfam:Citrus sinensis cultivar Ridge Pineapple sweet orange scaffold06781_contig_1, whole genome shotgun sequence.